GACGAACGCUGGCGGCGUGCUUAACACAUGCAAGUCGAACGGAAAGGCCCUGCUUUUGUGGGGUGCUCGAGUGGCGAACGGGUGAGUAACACGUGAGUAACCUGCCCUUGACUUUGGGAUAACUUCAGGAAACUGGGGCUAAUACCGUAUAGGAGCUCCUGCUGCAUGGUGGGGGUUGGAAAGUUUCGGCGGUUGGGGAUGGACUCGCGGCUUAUCAGCUUGUUGGUGGGGUAGUGGCUUACCAAGGCUUUGACGGGUAGCCGGCCUGAGAGGGUGACCGGCCAAAGUGGGACUGAGAUACGGCACAGACUCCUACGGGAGGCAGCAGUGGGGAAUAUUGCACAAUGGGCGGAAGCCUGAUGCAGCAACGACGCGUGCGGGAUGACGGCCUUCGGGUUGUAAACCGCUUUCGCCUGUGACGAAGCGUGAGUGACGGUAAUGGGUAAAGAAGCACCGGCUAACUACGUG
rnacentral:rRNA from 1 species